AGCAGGAUCGGGCCCAGACAAGCAGGCAAGCAACAGAUAAAGAAACAGGUUGAAAGCCCUAAGGGAAUAGUGUCACGAGUAAGAAAAGCAGUAAGUGCAGGCAAGAACCCCUGGAACAAUACUUAAAAUGGUGAAAACUGAGGUGCUAAAGGUGUCAUUUUGGGAUAUAAACAAGUGAUUUAAGGAAAGAGAGUGUAAAGUUAACUCUACAGAGGCUGGAGAGAAUUAAGCAGUUAAACUUUGUGAACAUGUUAAAAAAGGACCAUGUUAAAGAGAGAGAAUUCUUGGUUUCUUUGCAGCCAUUCUGAAGGGAAAAUGGGCCCUUUUCCAGAAGAAUGCCUGUAAAUAAUCCAAAUAUAUAUACAGCUAUGUAAAAACAAAGCAGUGUAAAGGAAUGUUAAGGAAAAGAAAAUGUGUAUGUAUCUAUUUGUCUGUGAAAAUAUGUAAAGUUCUAAGACUAAACCAGCACAUCUGGUUUGUAAAACUCCUGUUUUGUAGGUGUAAGAUAAAUUGAUUUUGUUUUUGUUUUUAAUGCCACUACAAAUUCAUUUGACUCUUUAAUUCAAAGUUGCAAAACUGACAGACCUUUUUGCAAGACACAGGUAAUUAGUGUUGUUUGGCUUUCGGAUUUAGCAUUUAACCCUUAAGAGGUAACUUGAUUCUUUAAAAAAUUAAAAUGUUUUUAAAUAAAGACCAAGUCAUGGCUGCAAUAGGGCAGUCAAAAUCAGGAGAAUAGGUAGAGAUUCUGGAGUCUUCUUGUUUGUUUGGGUUUGUUUUUUUUUUUGUAACAAUAGCAGAUAAGAGCUGUAAUGAAAGAAUAAGAAAUUAACAGUGACCCUCUAAAGCAACAGCAGAGGUGAGGUGCACAAAACAAAAAGAAGCAGUGUUAAAAACACUGAGCCUUAAAAUGGCGCUGUGUAAUCAGACUGUCACUUUGAUAAGGGUACAUGAAAAUUCUGUAAGAACAAAAGAAACAGUUAUACCUUAUGUAAAAAUUGAUAUGGUUAAUGUUUUUAAAAAGUUAUAGUACAGAAGGAAUGUGCAUUUUCCCUAGGACAUGUGCAGUGUAUAUUGUAGAAAGGGGUAAAAGAAAUGCAAAUGAAAUGCGCUGCUGAAUUAAAAUCCUAUUAGGGCUCCGAAAAGAGCCGCAAUAGGCUGUGUUUUCUUUUUCAGAUCCCUUUGUGUUAAGACAGAGUCUCUGAGCUCUGCUGAUGGCUUUGAAUCCAAAAGCCAAGCCUGUGUUGAUGCAAAUUACCUAACUGAUAAAGAAAGGUGAGAACUGCCAGCACAAAAGAAGCUGCAAAUAAAGAACAUACCUGGUCAGCAAACAAAUUGCCUACAUAAAAGGCAUGGUAUAACAAGAUAUCUUUAAUAGAUUUGAUGCUAAUGUUACUGUUAAUAUUAAACAUUAAAAUAACUUUAAUGUUAGUAAGUACCCCUGUAACAAAAUGUAGUGUGUAUGAUUUUUGGAAAAGUCCUUUAAAGUAAUAUGGUAAUGAUGCUUCUCAGCUAUUACCUGUGAAUAAAGUUAAAGCUUAACACAGCAGGAAAAACAUUACAAACUUGGUCUGCUAUAUAAGAGGAAAAACUUGAGGUACACCACCUCAUAAAUUUAAUAACUAAACAGUGGAAUAAUUUCCGCAUAACCCUUAAAAAGUAGAAUCUAUUAAAACCUGGCCUGCCUAUAGAACAAAAAAACACAAGAAAAUAUGGGGGUCAUUCUUCUGUUUUGCCUGCAAUCAGCAAGGGUAUUUGUAAAAGAAAAGAAUCUUUUAAUUGAUAAUCAAUGCCACCCAAAAAGGGGUAGAAAAAUGUUAUUUUUUUCUUUCAGAUAAUCCAAAGUACUGUAUAAUGGGCUAUGUGUAUGUGUUAAUUCUUGGGAAAAAGUAUUUAAAAAGUGUUAGCAACCCACCAGAAGACAAAUGUUAAUGUACUGUAAGUUCUGUGUUUACCAAUAAUCACAUUUACUAUUUGCCGCCACAACAACAACAACAACAACAAAAGAGUCUCAGCUUACUGUAAACACUGAUUUAGUUGAGUUCUCUAUCAAUCUUGGCAUUGAAUGGCAAACAGUUGCCAAUCAUCUGUUAAAAGGUAAAAAGGUAACAUAUAGUUCCUAAAAAAAAAAAAAAGUGUGGAAAACUGGACCAUUCAUAUUAUACAAGCAAAUGGGGACAUGUUAAGAAUUGCCACUGCGGAAAAACACAACAGCUUACCAUUGGUAUAACAUAUUUUCUGGAUGGUCUCCCACAACUAUUGGCAUACUUAUGUUACUACCCCUAAUUGUUUUUGGUUUUAAAUUGUAUGUAUUUAGUUGAAAUGUUUAAAAUGUGCUGGUGGAUAAAACAAAUGUAUGCAAAGCUAAAGCCACAGGCGCAAAUCACCUCCCAGUAUUUUCUAUUACGUGGACUAAAUAAGAAGUGACACUGGCGAUUAAUAAUCUUAAUGUCAAAAGGGGGGUAUGUAGGAACAGGAUUUUAUAAUGUCCCAUAACAAUUAAAGUAUAAUUUGAUUUCAUCCUGCUAGCCACCUUUUUAAAUAGCAGAAAGAAAUGACCCCCUGGGACUAUAAGUUUCUGUUUUCCCAUAUGCAUUGCAAAUUGAGCCCUCUCUAACACUUUGUUUUAAGAUUUAGGUAGUAAGAGACAGGAUUCUCUAUUGUGUCUAUGUUAAGUAAAUUAGAGAAACAUUGAAGGCCUGGGUCUCAAUGUAAAUUGUCUUGGUUAUUAAUUGUAAAACUUAGCAAGGUUUAAUUUGCAAUGCUUUUUUGCUCGAUAUAAAAUACUACUGUUUGUAUUCUCAAUCUAUUUGUGUGAAUGAGGAAUGUAUGCAUCAGGAAAAGAUAAAGGUGUGAAGGCCAUUGUUAUAGCCAGAGUCAAGGAAGAAGUAGUAAAGAGACUUAAAGAACAUCAAAGAAUCACCAGGCACUGCUUACUACCCCGAUGGCUGUUAAACUGUCUAGCAUCUCAGAGUGGAUACAUGCUUCGCCGUGUAAAAAUGCACCACCCCCAGUGAACCAAUCAUCACCUCAGGACCACGCAGAGUCAAUUGUGACUCCAGAAGAAGACGUAGAGGAACAGCCUGCAAUACCUUACAAUCUACGUUCUCAUAAGAGUUGCCAGAAGCAGGCGACAACCUAAAGCAAGGCCCAAGAAGAAGCAGUAGUGAGCCUAGCGCCUGCUGCCUGGUGGACAUAAAACUGUGAUUGCGGUUUCCUCAGUUGAGGUUGUCAGAACCAGAAGGGCCCUGCCUCCAACAUGUGCCUCUGGUGGUGCCUGUUCCUCGACUGCUGGUGUCUUAAGGUCUGGGGAGUCCACAAUGACAAUUCUUUUAUCCAGCAGCAAGUGUGGAUAGCUCAGACCCUUAUUAUUUCUAAAUGCUGAGUCUGCAGCCGCAUCCCAGCCCACUCUCAAACUGGUGUUCCUGUCCUGGCUAUCCCACUCAGUUCCCCAGACCUCACUGGAGGACCUUGUCCGUUUAACACAAUAUGGAACAGUAAUGACACCUGGGAAGAGGCUAUUGGUAGUUCCUUUAUCCCACUUGGGGGAGCAAUACACCAGGCAAA